CCUACGGGAGGCAGCAGUGAGGAAUAUUGGUCAAUGGACGAGAGUCUGAACCAGCCAAGUAGCGUGAAGGAUGACUGCCCUAUGGGUUGUAAACUUCUUUUAUCAAGGAAUAAAACGAGGCACGUGUGCCUUUUUGCCUUUACUUUAUGAAUACGGCUCGGCUAACUCCGUGCCAGCAGCCGCGGUAAUACGGCGGAUCCGAGCGUUAUCCGGAUUUAUUGGGUUUAAAGGGAGCGUAGAUGGGUUGUUAAGUCAGUUGUGAAAGUUUGCGGCUCAACCGGAAAAUUGCAAUUGAUACUGGCAGUCUUGAGUACAGUCGAGGUAGGCGGAAUGCGUGGUGUAGCGGUGAAAUGCUUAGAUAUCACGAAGAACCCCGAUGGCGAAGGCAGCUUACUAAACUGUGACUGACAUUGAUGCUCGAAAGUGUGGGUAUCAAACAGGAUUAGAUACCCCGGUAGUC
rnacentral:rRNA from 1 species